rnacentral:rRNA from 1 species
UACGAAGGGGGCUAGCGUUGCUCGGAAUUACUGGGCGUAAAGCGUGCGUAGGUGGUUUGUUAAGUCUGUUGUGAAAGCCCCGGGCUCAACCUGGGAAUGGCAAUGGAUACUGGCAAGCUAGAGUGCGGUAGAGGGUAGUGGAAUUCCCGGUGUAGCGGUGAAAUGCGUAGAGAUCGGGAGGAACACCAGUGGCGAAGGCGGCUACCUGGACCAGCACUGACACUGAGGCACGAAAGCGUGGGGAGCAAACAGG